UCGAGCGGGCACUUCGGUGUCAGCGGCGGACGGGUGAGUAACGCGUGGGAACGUGCCUUCUGGUUCGGAAUAACUCAGGGAAACUUGAGCUAAUACCGGAUACGCCCUUUUGGGGAAAGGUUUACUGCCGGAAGAUCGGCCCGCGUCUGAUUAGCUAGUUGGUGGGGUAACGGCCUACCAAGGCGACGAUCAGUAGCUGGUCUGAGAGGAUGAUCAGCCACACUGGGACUGAGACACGGCCCAGACUCCUACGGGAGGCAGCAGUGGGGAAUAUUGGACAAUGGGCGCAAGCCUGAUCCAGCCAUGCCGCGUGAGUGAUGAAGGCCUUAGGGUUGUAAAGCUCUUUUAUCCGGGACGAUAAUGACGGUACCGGAGGAAUAAGCCCCGGCUAACUUCGUGCCAGCAGCCGCGGUAAUACGAAGGGGGCUAGCGUUGCUCGGAAUCACUGGGCGUAAAGGGCGCGUAGGCGGUCUUUUAAGUCGGGGGUGAAAGCCUGUGGCUCAACCACAGAAUUGCCUUCGAUACUGGGAGACUUGAGUUCGGAAGAGGUUGGUGGAACUGCGAGUGUAGAGGUGAAAUUCGUAGAUAUUCGCAAGAACACCGGUGGCGAA
rnacentral:rRNA from 1 species